UACGUAGGGUCCGAGCGUUUGUCCGGAAUUAUUGGGCGUAAAGAGCUCGUAGGCGGUUUGUCGCGUCUGCUGUGAAAUCCCGAGGCUCAACCUCGGGUCUGCAGUGGGUACGGGCAGACUGGAGUGCGGUAGGGGAGCGGGGAAUUCCUAGUGUAGCGGUGAAAUGCGCAGAUAUUAGGAGGAACACCGGUGGCGAAGGCGCCGCUCUGGGCCGAAACUGACGCUGAGGAGCGAAAGCAUGGGUAGCAAACAGG
rnacentral:rRNA from 1 species